ACUCCUACGGGAGGCAGCAGUGGGGAAUAUUGGACAAUGGGCGAAAGCCUGAUCCAGCCAUGCCGCGUGAGUGACGAAGGCCUUAGGGUUGUAAAACUCUUUUGCGGGGACGAUAAUGACGGUACCCGCAGAAUAAGCCCCGGCUAACUUCGUGCCAGCAGCCGCGGUAAUACGAAGGGGGCUAGCGUUGUUCGGAAUCACUGGGGCGUAAAGCGCACGUAGGCGGACUGGUCAGUUGGGGGUGAAAUCCCAGGGGCUCAACCCUGGAACUGCCUCCAAUACUGCCAGUCUUGAGUCCGAGAGAGGUGAGUGGAAUUCCUAGUGUAGAGGUGAAAUUCGUAGAUAUUAGGAAGAACACCAGUGGCGAAGGCGGCUCACUGGCUCGGUACUGACGCUGAGGUGCGAAAGCGU
rnacentral:rRNA from 1 species